AGAGAAGUGGACAUUAGAGAGUCAACGUUAGAGAAGUGGACAUUAGAGAGUCAACGUUGGAGAAGUGGACAUUAGAGAGUCAAGGUCCACUUCUCUAGCCUUGAGUCUCUAAUGUCCACUUCUCUAACGUUGACUCUCUAAUGUCCACUUCUCUAGCCUUGACUCUCUAAUGUCCACUUCUCUAACGUUGACUCUCUAAUGUCCACUUCUCU